GGGGGGCGGGGUUACAUUCCCGGCGGGGGCGGGGGGGCUGCUCCCGCGCGCAGGGUCCCGCGGCACCCGGGCUGGGCUCGGGCGGGAAUUCCCCCGCCCCCCGCUGCGAGAGAUGGGGAAACUGAGGCAGGGGGCGGUGACCUGGCCGCCGGCCAGCAGCCGCACCGAGCUUUGAACUCGGUCCCUUCCGAGCCCUGCUCUGCCUCGCUCGUCACGAGGCCACGCCAACCCCAGCAAAACCUUACGGCUGCCAGCAAAGACCAGCGCGCUCCGCCGCCGGCCCGCGGCCCAGGCGAUUGUGCAGUGCACCCCCGUCUGGGAGCUGUAACAUGGCAAUCCGGGGACAUGGUAAAAGUUCGUCGUGGCUGGCCACUGGUGGCUUGUGUGCGGGGGGUGUGGACUGUGUUGGGACCUGGUGCGCUCAGAUGCAAGUGAGCCAGGUGCACCCAGAGAGUCGUGGUCUAGUGAGCUCGGCAUGAGCAAGGAGCUGUAUUCCCUACUUCCUGGGCGGGUGUUGGAGAUCCGUCAGUUAGUAAAGUGCUUUUGACAAUCCGGGCUAGUUAUGAAUAAAUACCUUGGCUCAUU